AUACGUAGGGUGCGAGCGUUAAUCGGAAUUACUGGGCGUAAAGCGUGCGCAGGCGGUUUUUUAAGACAGGCGUGAAAUCCCCGGGCUUAACCUGGGAACUGCGCUUGUGACUGGAAGGCUAGAGUACGGCAGAGGGGGGUGGAAUUCCACGUGUAGCAGUGAAAUGCGUAGAGAUGUGGAGGAACACCGAUGGCGAAGGCAGCCCCCUGGGCCGAUACUGACGCUCAUGCACGAAAGCGUGGGGAGCAAACAGGAUUAGAUACCCUGGUAGUCCACGCCCUAAACGAUGUCAACUAGUUGUUGGGUGGGUAAAACCAUUUAGUAACGUAGCUAACGCGUGAAGUUGACCGCCUGGGGAGUACGGCCGCAAGGUUAA
rnacentral:rRNA from 1 species